GUUCAAAACUCUUUCCUGAACGAGGCAGUUUCCUCAGAGAUGAAGAUAACAGAUCCUUUCGUUCAGAAACCUGAUCAUGGAGAAGAGAGUUCACGUAAGAACAGACUGUGCUAAGAGAAGAAUUUCAGGAGGCAAUGAGGUCUCCAUGAAGACAUCUAACAGAUCUCAGCUUUCAACUCAAGACCAUCAGAACAGGGUCAGAGACUGCAGGCUUGUUCAGUUGCUGAGAAACAGCCAGCUAGCUUGUUGGCUGAGUGAGAUCUGUGCAGGGAGUGUCGCACUCCAGCUGCUGACAGCCGCCUCUUCCUGCUGUUUGUCUGGCUCCUGGUGGAACUGCAAGUGAUCCUUCCCUGCCUCAUUCUCUGUGGUUGCCUCUUUGAUGGGCCACUCAGGAGGCCAGUGAACACAGCAUGGACCUGGAUUACAGCUCCUGUAAGGGCUAAAGCGGUGGAGAAGAUGCCGCACACUGAUGGACGCUCAGAGGGAACAAGGUCAUAACCCUGUGAUCGAAGAACUACGCUAAAAUUAAAAAAAUACACCAUUAAAGUUGAAGCUGGGCACUAUGUAAUCACUAUAUCACAGGAAAUUUCUUCACAGCUGGAAGUACAUCAGGCAAUACCCAUCAAAAUGGCUAUAUUUAUCAUGACUAUCAGUUAAAUGAAUUUCUUCCUUGCAUUCAAAUUUGAACUGAUAUUCUGCAUCCUGUUUGCUUCGUCAAUUCACAUUAAGGACAAAUCAUGUCCCUAACAUCUUAUUAGACAACUGAAGUGCUCUAGGAACAUGCCCUGCUUUACUUUAUCUUUAAAACACAAAGCUCCGAUUACUAAGGAUAGACUUCAUAUGCACAAAAACAGCAGCAGAGGCAGAAUUUUGAUUCGAUCGAUUAAAGAAAUUUAUUCAGGUCAUUAAACGAACCAAUCUUGUGAAAUUUCAGAUGGCACUUCAAUUUACUGAACACAGUUUUAGCCCAUUGUCUGCACUGAAAUAGAGCCUGACCCUGCAUGGCCGGAGUAGCCAUGACAACAGACCACAGAUUGUCCUUGUCCACACUUUCCAGCAUUGGAGAGUUACAGAGCUGCUUAUUUUAA